CUGGCGGCGUGCCUAAUACAUGCAAGUCGAACGCUUUUUCUUUCACCGGAGCUUGCUCCACCGAAAGAAAAGGAGUGGCGAACGGGUGAGUAACACGUGGGUAACCUGCCCAUCAGAAGGGGAUAACACUUGGAAACAGGUGCUAAUACCGUAUAACAAUCGAAACCGCAUGGUUUCGGUUUGAAAGGCGCUUUUGCGUCACUGAUGGAUGGACCCGCGGUGCAUUAGCUAGUUGGUGAGGUAACGGCUCACCAAGGCAACGAUGCAUAGCCGACCUGAGAGGGUGAUCGGCCACAUUGGGACUGAGACACGGCCCAAACUCCUACGGGAGGCAGCAGUAGGGAAUCUUCGGCAAUGGACGCAAGUCUGACCGAGCAACGCCGCGUGAGUGAAGAAGGUUUUCGGAUCGUAAAACUCUGUUGUUAGAGAAGAACAAGGAUGAGAGUAGAAUGUUCAUCCCUUGACGGUAUCUAACCAGAAAGCCACGGCUAACUACGUGCCAGCAGCCGCGGUAAUACGUAGGUGGCAAGCGUUGUCCGGAUUUAUUGGGCGUAAAGCGAGCGCAGGCGGUUUCUUAAGUCUGAUGUGAAAGCCCCCGGCUCAACCGGGGAGGGUCAUUGGAAACUGGGAAACUUGAGUGCAGAAGAGGAGAGUGGAAUUCCAUGUGUAGCGGUGAAAUGCGUAGAUAUAUGGAGGAACACCAGUGGCGAAGGCGGCUCUCUGGUCUGUAACUGACGCUGAGGCUCGAAAGCGUGGGGAGCAAACAGGAUUAGAUACCCUGGUAGUCCACGCCGUAAACGAUGAGUGCUAAGUGUUGGAGGGUUUCCGCCCUUCAGUGCUGCAGCUAACGCAUUAAGCACUCCGCCUGGGGAGUACGACCGCAAGGUUGAAACUCAAAGGA
rnacentral:rRNA from 1 species